rnacentral:rRNA from 1 species
GACGGAGGGUGCUAGCGUUGUUCGGAAUUAUUGGGCGUAAAGAGCUUGUAGGCGGUCUGUCGCGUCUGCUGUGAAAAUCCGGGGCUCAACCCCGGACUUGCAGUGGGUACGGGCAGACUAGAGUGUGGUAGGGGAGACUGGAAUUCCUGGUGUAGCGGUGAAAUGCGCAGAUAUCAGGAGGAACACCGGUGGCGAAGGCGGGUCUCUGGGCCGAUACUGACGCUGAGGAGCGAAAGCGUGGGGAGCGAACAGG